CUGACAGGGUCUCACUUUGUCGCCCGGGCAGGAGUGCAGUGGCUCAAUCUUGGGCUCACUGCAGCCUCAACCUCCCAGAGGCGGGGUUUCACCAUGUUGCCCAGACUGGUCUUGAACUCCUGAGCUUAAGCAAUCCACCUGCCUCGGCCUCCCAAAGUGUUGGGAUCACAGGCGUGAGCCACCGCAUCCGGCCUCAUGUUCUUUUUCAUUAAAGAGAGAAAUCAACUAUUCAGGACCGGCCCCCACCUUUCCUCAGGAGUCAUUUCUGUUCCGCACAGGCCUGCUGAACUGGGUGCUUUAUAUAGGACACUGUCAUCUCUCAAGUACCCAUCUUGGAGGGUACGGACCCCACAUGAGGAUUUCAGUGGAGUGAAGUUCAGGAGGCAUGGAGCUGACAACCAUGAGGCCUCGGCAGCCACCGCCACCACCGCCGCCGCCACCACCGUAGCAGCAGCAGCAGCAGCAGCAGCAGCAGCAGCAGCAGCAAGAGUAACUCUGACUUAGGAAUAGAGACAGCCAGAGAGAAAUGUGAUCAAUGAAGGAGACAUCUGGAGUGUGCGUGCUUCUUCAGAGGGACGGGUGAUGGGCAGAUUGGAAAAAGCACCGCAGAUGGGAACCUUAAUCUUUCUUUUCUAAAAUUGAUGCUAUGAAAAUUUGCGUUUUCUGUAACUUGUAAAAACUAAAAGUUGCUUGUCUACUGAAAA
rnacentral:lncRNA from 10 species